rnacentral:lncRNA from 1 species
UUAUGGACAUUAUGUUAAGGGGGCCAAUGUGUUGUCAUAUAAAGUGUAGGACUAAUGUGUAGAUACCCAAAAGGGUAACCUUAGUUAUGAUGGGCUAACUAAGGUUACAUAUAUGUAACCAUGGUUACAUCUUGUGACUCUUGAGUUAUGUAACUCUUGUAACUCUUGUGACUCUUGGGUUAUGUAACUGUUUUGUUAUAAAGUGGGGGUUAUGGUUCCCACAUUAGUGCAAGACAAGACUCUUCUUCCUCCCAUUGAAUCAAGAGCCAAAAUACUCCAUUGUUGUCUUGCAAAUAGUGCGGAAAACCAUAUACCUAUUUGAUUAUUGUCACAACAUUAUUAUUGUGAAUAAUUGUUUAAGGUUUGUUUCUUGCAUACUUGUGGAUACAUAUACUACUUCAAGACAUUCUUGAAGGAAGGCUAAGGAGCAAACUUCAUAGAGACAUAAGGACAAUUAUCAAAAGGAGGUUCA